UUACGGACAUAUCAUUUUGAAACACCGAUUUCUGUACGAUCACUGAAGUUAAGCAAUGUUGAGCUUGGCCAGUACCUAGAUGGCUGACCGAAUGGGAAUACCAAGUGCUGUAAG